rnacentral:rRNA from 1 species
UGAGGAACUUGCCCAUGAGCGGGGACAACAUUCGGAAACGGAUGCUAAUACCCCAUAGGUGGAUUGGUCGCAUGACGAAUUCAUUAAAGGUGGCUUUGCUACCACUCAUGGAUAGCCUCGCGGCGUAUUAGCUAGUCGGUAAGGUAAUGGCUUACCAAGGCAGUGAUACGUAGCCGACUUGAGAGGGUGAUCGGCCACAUUGGGACUGAGAUACGGCCCAG